CCCCAUGCCAGUAGCCAGCCCUCUAAGAUAGUAGUCCUGGUCACAUCUUGUGCCCUUGUCAAUUCCACUGCAUGAAAUGGGAGGGACGUGCCUGCAGUUACAGACUGGGCCACCCACGUUUCGGUUCCAGCUGUUCUGCAACAAUCCCGUCUUCUCCAGAGCCCCUCCACCUCAAACAACAACAUUUCUGGUUCUCUGUCUCACUUUCGCUCCCCCCCAUUCUAGGUUCAGGAGACUACGGGGGUUCCUGAGGUGGAGGCAAAAUUAAGUGCCCCCCCUCAAGACAGGCCCGCUGAGGUUACAGCUUCCCGGCGGAUCAGCGGAGGUUCCCCAUUGCCUGAGCAACUGCCUCCGGACGAGUCUUCCCUGCACUUUGUUCAUGAGACGUGCACCCAGGCUCACUGGAGAGGAGACCCUGUCCAGGACUCCACCGGGCAGGCCAUGGUGAUGAGAUGGUGAUAGAAAAUAUGGAGGCCUUUGAGGACGGAUUGUGAGGACGGCUCAGUCCCAGGACCGAUCCUGGGCUUGUGAUUUUAUGGCAGCGAUGAGAGCGAGACAAUUUGUUCUCGCUGACCGCCUUCUGCAGCACAUAUGCAUUUUAUCUUUGUUGUGUAUAAUAAAACAUUGUUAGAACAAAGUC